rnacentral:rRNA from 1 species
AAUAGAUACCCAGGUAGUCCACGCCCCAAACGAUGUCGACUAGUUGUUGGGGAUUCAUUUCCUUAGUAACGUAGCUAACGCGUGAAGUUGACCGCCUGGGGAGUACGGCCGCAAGGUUAAAACUCAAAGGAAUUGACGGGGGACCCGCACAAGCGGUGGAUUAUGUGGAUUAAUUCGAUGCAACGCGAAAAACCUUACCUACCCUUGACAUGCCAGGAACCUCGCAGAGAUGUGAGGGUGCCCGAAAGGGAACCUGGACACAGGUGCUGCAUGGCUGUCGUCAGCUCGUGUCGUGAGAUGUUGGGUUAAGUCCCGCAACGAGCGCAACCCUUGCCAUUAGUUGCCACAUUCAGUUGGGCACUCUAAUGGGACUGCCGGUGACAAACCGGAGGAAGGUGGGGAUGACGUCAAGUCCUCAUGGCCCUUAUGGGUAGGGCUUCACACGUAAUACAAUGGACGGUACAGAGGGCAGCCAACUCGCGAGAGGGAGCUAAUCCCAGAAAGCCGUUCGUAGUCCGGAUUGCAGUCUGCAA